CCUACGGGUGGCUGCAGUGAGGAAUAUUGGUCAAUGGGCGCGAGCCUGAACCAGCCAAGUCGCGUGAGGGAAGACGGUCCUAUGGAUUGUAAACCUCUUUUGUCGGGGAGCAAAAGACGCCACGUGUGGCGUUCCGAGAGUACCCGAAGAAAAAGCAUUGGCUAACUCCGUGCCAGCAGCCGCGGUUAUACGGAGGAUGCGAGCGUUAUCCGGAUUUAUUGGGUUUAAAGGGUGCGCAGGCGGAAGAUCAAGUCAGCGGUAAAAUUGAGAGGCUCAACCUCUUCGGGCCGUUGAAACUGGUUGUCUUGAGUGAGCGAGAAGUAUGCGGAAUGCGUGGUGUAGCGGUGAAAUGCAUAGAUAUCACGCAGAACUCCGAUUGCGAAGGCAGCAUACCGGCGCUCAACUGACGCUGAUGCACGAAAGUGUGGGUAUCGAACAGGAUUAGAUACCCCUGUAGUC
rnacentral:rRNA from 1 species